UAGGGAAUCUUCCGCAAUGGGCGAAAGCUUGACGGAGCAACGCCGCGUGAGUGAUGAAGGUCUUCGGAUCGUAAAACUCUGUUAUUAGGGAAGAACAAAUGUGUAAGUAACUAUGCACGUCUUGACGGUACCUAAUCAGAAAGCCACGGCUAACUACGUGCCAGCAGCCGCGGUAAUACGUAGGUGGCAAGCGUUAUCCGGAAUUAUUGGGCGUAAAGCGCGCGUAGGCGGUUUUUUAAGUCUGAUGUGAAAGCCCACGGCUCAACCGUGGAGGGUCAUUGGAAACUGGAAAACUUGAGUGCAGAAGAGGAAAGUGGAAUUCCAUGUGUAGCGGUGACAUGCGCAGAGAUAUGGAGGAACACCAGUGGCGAAGGCGACUUUCUGGUCUGUAACUGACGCUGAUGUGCGAAAGCGUGGGGAUCAAACAGG
rnacentral:rRNA from 1 species